rnacentral:snRNA from 1 species
UCAUUCACGCACAAAUCUUUCGCCUUUUACUAAAGAUUUCCAUGA